ACUAGGAUAGUAGUGGAUGGGCUAAAUCCAUUGUGUGGAUGUUAAAAUAUGUCUUGCUCUUUGGAUGUCUUCCCAAUAGUCUUGGGGCAAAAGUCUGCAAAAAAAAAAAAAGGAGGUUUUAAAAAUCUUUUUAUUUGGGAUGAAUAAGAAUGCUUCCACUAAUAUUCUACAAUCUGCACUUGGGCCAUUCCUGUGCUUGUACAAUAUUGGUAUUUUCACAUUCAGAGAUACAAGAUUUCUUCCCCUAGCAUUUAUGACACAGAAUACGACAAAAGUUUUGAAACAUCUGAGUUGCAGUUUUCUUGGGUCUUUCACUUUAGUAUAUCACCUAAAUAUGAUUAUGAUCUGAAAUAGGUCACUAUGAUAAAGAGCAGGUUCAACAAUACUAUGUAAAGAAAAUAUUGUUCUAAUGUGGAAGAUAAAAUGCUAAGGCAGGAAAAGGGAAAGCCAAUUGGACUAUUGACCAUGACAACUGGGGUAACACUUUUCCACCCAGGACUGGGGGGGAAAAAGUUGGAUAUAAAUAAAUAUAAUAAACAUUGUCAUCAUCACCAUCAUCUGUUGGGUCACCAAAUCCUUGUCCAUAUAUUGGGAGAAGCUAGUUAGUGGAUUCUGAGAACUGUGACUUAAAAAUGAAAUUUCCAAAUUGUGUCUCUCAUGCUAACUUGAAACCACUCCUCCACAGUUUGAAGGGUGAAGGCCAAUAGGGAAGAAAUUGAAAAAGGAAACUGGCAGAGAGACAUAUAACAAUGUCUCAAGAUGCCAGGAAGCAUGAGUCACAUAGAUAUUUGGUGAGGACCUGAUCCUACAAACAAGGUACAUAAAACCUGUGGGUUUGUUUGCUAGAGUGUUGGUAGGGAAUAUAAAGUAGGCGAAUCCAGCUUAUCCUGCUUUGCUAGCUGUACUGCUAGAUAGUCGAGCCAUUGCACAGAAGCAAAUGAAACUCCUAAUACAAAUAAUAAAGUGGCUGGUAUUUACCUCUGUUAAAGUGUACAAGUGUGAGCUAUUUUAUUCGGAGUCAAGUUUGUAGAUCAUAUCUUGACAUAAAACCCAGCUUUCAGGAAGCAGCACCUUUAAGACAAGAGCUGUGAUCCCAGUCCGCAAAACUCCUUGGAGGGUCUUAGGUGUGAAAAUGUAGCAUUUUGUCUGAUUUCAUCAGCACUUCUAAAGAAGCAUUAUGACCCCUUCUGAUGUAAUUUGUAGAAUGCAUUUUCAAACCAGCAUGGCAUAGUAAUUUGGGCUUUGGACGUAGACUCCUGAGACCAGGGUCUGAAUCUCCACUCGGGCAUGGAAACCCACUAGGUACAUUGGGCAAGUCACAUUCUCUCAGCCUCAGAGGAUGACUAACUGCCUCUGAAUAAAUCUUGCCAAGAAAAUCCUAUGAUAGAUUUGCCUUAGGGUCACCAUACAUCAGGAAAAAAAAACCUUGAAGGCACAUUGUCACUACUUUCAACACACUCUAUAGACUGAACUAAACUUUGACUAUUUCCUUUUCCCGGAAAGCCAAAAGCCAGUUAAACCCAUAUAUUUAAAAAGUCACGUUUCAAGAUGCUACAAGUUAAUGUUUACUAUUAAAAGCUAAGAGCUUUUCAGCUUGUUAAUAUUUUGAGGCCUUCUUUGGGAAAUAAAAAAAAGUAUUUCAAAAAAUUUUGGUAAAAGAAUUUCCAGUACAAUUUGACUAAAAACACAUGAAUGAAAACUGUAGUCCCUAAAUACAAUGUAUAGCUUUUCAUUUGUAUUACAGACUCCUUCAUCAGAAAAUUUUGCAAAUUCUUUGAUUUACUAAGGAAAUAUUUUAUGUUUUCAAAAUAAAAUAAUAAUUAUUUAUAGUUCACGUUUCCCUCCAGCAGGGACUCCAGGCAACUUACAAAUCAAAACAAAUACUGUAUUAUUUAAACACGCAACUUUUAAAACAGUACUACUGUAUUUAAAAUUAGCCAGGGUACUGUAUUGGUUUGACUUUUGUACCAGGAUUUGAAGAAGCCAAGGUUCAAAAGUCCCUACUCAGUCUUUGAACUCCACUGGGUGAAUUUAGGAAGAUUGGACUCCUUCAGCUUCUGAGAAAGACAAUGCUCUCUUUGAACAAAUUUUGCCAAGAAAACACUGUGGUACGUUUGCCUUAGGAUCACCAGAACUUGGAAAUAUCUUGAAGGCACACGUGAACAAGUAUUAAAAACAGCAAAUUCAAAUAGUACAGCACCUUGUCAAAAGCCCUUUCUUUAAAAAUAUUCAGUUCUCAAAAGCUUGUUGAAUAUAAAAGGCUUUUCAUGGAGACAUAAGGACAUAGCAACAAGGAAGGGACAUUCUAGCCUCCAUAGAAAUGGAGCAUAUGUACAAUCAGCAAGAUGUCCCUAUCUCAUAUCUCCAACAAAAUGUGCUUGUGAAGAUAGCGGAACAGAAAGAAGGGCCACCACUUAUAGCUUAAGAGUGGGGAAAGUACUGUCCGUGCUCUGCAUGUAACCCUACAAGUUCCCCAGGAAACUCCCCAAGCCUCUUGAACCCCCAGGAAACUGCCCCCAAUCACUCAACCUACUGCAAGAACACCUCAAAUGCAACAGAUGAAUUUUAUUUGCCGUCUAAACCUAGAAAGGAUUGUUUGGCUACUACCUUAGACAGCUCUGCAAAGAGGGUAGAUCCAUUUGCUUAUCAUCAGGGUUUAUUUUCAGCUUCCUUGAUCCACUGUACAAGGAGACCGAGGGCCAAAGUAAUUUUCUUUCAUCUGCCAGCACUAUGUUUUAUUUUGUGGGGCCAUACACAAUGUGAACAUGCCAUUGUUCUUACCUCCCCUCUCCAUUCACACUCUCAAUCCAACCUCCACCGCGGAGAAGCAGGGAAAACCAGAGCUUUCUCAAUUUAACAUCAGAAUCAUUACUGUUGAUAGUGUAUAUAGAGGGCUUAUUUUGAUGGUCACCCUCUAAAUGUCUUACAGUCAGAAAGACCAUGAUUUCACCUGCUUUCUAGGGUGUGAGGCUAUAGAAUGACUGUUAUGUGCAAAAUAAUGUAUGGUUCCAGGUCAAGGGACAAGGGGAAUAAUAUCCUGUAAUCUAUGCUCCAGUGAUAAUUGGAGAAUAUCAUCCCCAAUUCUGUGUGCACUUCUGAUUUUUUUCUAGCUGUAAAAACAAAGGAAUUAAGGAAAUGAAAACUCAACUAAAUCAAGGAGAGGCUGAUGGACAGGAGGAAGGAAACAAUUGUCUUCUUUUAGAAUAGUUUAGGACAUAGAAUGCUUUCAUAUCACACAAUUAUAGUGCUAUGAUUCUACAGGUUGGGUAUCCCUUAUCUGAAAUGCUUGGGACCAGAAGUGUUUUUAUGAUCUCUCCAAAGCCCCUGGGGCUGUGUCGUUUUGCUGGCAGUUGUCAGAGAAACAACAGGCUUGUGGGACGCCUCGUAGCACCCCGUGUGCCCUCCCUCCUUCCCCCAUCAUAUGGUGGGGACUGGAUAAGGUGCGGUGGGGCCCUGUCCCUGUCUCCAUCAUAUGGGAGAAGGGGCAGCAACACGAGUUGUCCUGUUGUCCUUUCCGCCAUCGUAUGGAGGAAAGUGCAAAAUAAAUUGGGUAGCUCCAACAAUCCUAAUUAACUCGACUUUCUCAUCAGCCAAAAGCAGGCCCACACUUAUCAUUUAAAUACUGAAAAUGUUUUCCAGUUGCUAGAAUUAUGUCUCCUUAGUAUCAGUGGAUACCAGUCAUGAUGGAGGCAGGAAGAUUUGGAAGAAGUGUGUCACUUAAGACCAGUUGCUCAAGUUUUUCUUGCGUGAUUCACUGCAGCCAUUCUGCUCCAGCCCAGCAUCAGAAACCUGUUUUGUUCCAGUCCUUCUUCACCACCCUCCAAAGGCUGAUGUUGCUUUAAAGAACCCUCAUACUAAACUGGGGAUGAGGAAGAAAUGGGAAUAUGGACAAGGAUGAAGAGACUUUGUGAAAAAAAAAGUUUUGCUGUCAGAGGCUUUGUUAACUGUGGUAAGCCUGUAUUCUGUAAUGAUGGGCAGUAAGUAUGAUUUUCAGGUACUGGAGGGGAAAAAACACAUAAACCAGGAGUUGUUAGAGUCUGGUCAUCUAGAAAUUGGUUAUAUCUCUACCAGCACUUGGUUCCAAAUCAUGAAUAAUCAAAAAGGUACAAUCCAUGUACUGCAGGUCUACAUAGGGAAGCCAACGUCCUUUGUUUUACAUGCUGCGAGAAGACUCCUUAAAUUACAGCAGACAUGUGCUGAAAACCCAGCUGUUGGCUGCUCUGAGAACUUUGCCCCUGGGAAACAGAGUCAAAUGGAAAUGGGAAUGCUAUCUAAGCAGAGAAAGAAAUGCACGUGUUGUUGUUUACUGACAUCAGGUCAACUCUAUAAAUGAGAGAUCUCCAAGGGCCCUUCCAGACAUGCCUGAAUCCUGCUUGUCCUGCAGACUCAGGGACAUGGCUUUCUUCAUUGAGUCCAUCAAUCUGUAAUCGCUCUUUCUCUUUUACUAUUGCCUUCUAACUUACUAAGCAUUAUCAUCUUUUCUAGUGAGUCACACACUGUGUGUCCAAUGUAUAGGAGUGUCUGUUUAACCAUCUUGGAGUCUAGGGAGAGUUCAGGGUUGAUUUUUUUCUAGGACCCAUUUAUUUCUGUUUUUAGCAGUCUGUGUCCCAGAGGUUAAUUCUGUGACUGCAGAAAAAAUAGAGUGCAUAAAUCAGGAAAGAUUUGUAAGAAGUCUUGAAAGUAAGGGUGGGCUUUUUGACUCAGCUGCGAAUUGAUAGAGGAAAUGGAGCAAAUGGAAUAAUGUAUAUUGCUCCUUGGUUGAACCUUUGCUUUGCAUUCAGGAGACCACAAGUCUGUUUUUGUACAAUGUUUGUCUUUUGUAAGGAUGCAAGGUGGAACACAACAAGAUUUUACCAUCUACAUCUUAUUAUCACAACAACCCUGGUUAGGCUGAAAGAUGAGUUACCCAAGGCUGGAUGGCCAUCUGUCGGGGGUGCUUUGAAUGCGAUUUCCUGCUUCUUAGCGGGGGGUUGGACUAGAUGGCCCUUGAGGUCUCUUCCAACUCUACUAUUCUAUGAUUCUAUGAUUCUAUGAUUCUAAG